CCUACGGGAGGCAGCAGUGGGGAAUAUUGCACAAUGGGGGAAACCCUGAUGCAGCAACGCCGCGUGGGUGAAGAAGUAUUUCGGUAGGUAAAGCCCUAUCAGCAGGGAAGAGAAUGACGGUACCUGACUAAGAAGCCCCGGCUAACUACGUGCCAGCAGCCGCGGUAAUACGUAGGGGGCAAGCGUUAUCCGGAUUUACUGGGUGUAAAGGGAGCGUAGACGGUUGUGCAAGUCUGAAGUGAAAGCCCGGGGCUCAACUGCGGAACGGCUUUGGAAACUGUGUAACUGGAGUGCUGGACAGGUAAGCGGAAUUCCUGGUGUAGCGGUGAAAUGCGUAGAGAUCAGGAGGAACACCGGCGGCGAAGGCGGCUUACUGGACAGUAACUGACGUUGAGGCUCGAAAGCGUGGGGAGCAAACAGGAUUAGAUACCCGUGUAGUC
rnacentral:rRNA from 1 species